rnacentral:tRNA from 1 species
GGUUCCGUAGUGAAGUGGUUAUCACAUCAGUCUCACACACUGAAGGUCUCCGGUUCGAACCCGGGCGGAAUCA